rnacentral:lncRNA from 1 species
GCAAACAACGCGCUUUCCGAUCGUUGGGUCGGGCUGCUACGUCCCAAAGUGGGCCGUCCGCAAAAUUUGUGAGAACGGGAGAGAAAGCACAGCCAAUAGACAAGCGAGCGCAGCCCCGGAAGCUUGCGUCGCCAAUUUGGGCUUCGAUUGGGGACGACACAUUAAGUGCAGACGAUUUGUAAUGCUUUAAUAAUUAAACGUGCAAUAUAAAAAAAAAUUCUUCCUGUUGC